rnacentral:antisense_RNA from 1 species
ACAACUGCAGCGAGAGAAGAGGCUGGCAGCAUGGGUGGCAGGANGCUUGGCAGCCUCACAGGAUGCCUGCAAAUACCUUUCACUUAUGCAGUUUGGCAGUGCAGUGGUGCAUGGAGACAGCGUCUUGGGCCUGUACAGAAGCUUCUAUUCUGGAAUAGAACAGCUAGCAUACUACCAAGACUUUUCAAGGAGCAAGAAUGGAGCUCCCUGGAGAACUGACUGAACAUGGCUUCAGAGGCAGUAUCCAUAUAAGAGUCCUGAAGCUCAGAUGACACAGCUGAUAACAGGGAAGCCAGGACAGAAUCUCAUUGUUUUGAACACCAAAACCCGUUCCCUUGACAACUUGGCUAUACUACACUAUUCGAAUGUUGCAGAUACUGUGGGGCCUCAGAGAACCAGGAUGUGCUUCCAUCUUAUGGCUGCAACAUCUCAACAUCUCACCAAGAAAGGAGAAGAGAGAGUUNNAGGGUCUCACAGUGACUUUUAAUUUCUUCAGCCUGUCACAUUUCAAAGGCCAGAUCUUUCCCAGGGCUUAAGCUGUUCCUUGGAUACUUUUGCUGAUGGUUUACACAUCUUCUUCCCACAUUAUAUUGUAACUUUCUU